UAGAGGCACAAAGUAAUUGAGA
rnacentral:misc_RNA from 1 species